rnacentral:rRNA from 1 species
UACGGAGGAUGCGAGCGUUAUCCGGAUUUAUUGGGUUUAAAGGGUGCGUAGGCUGUAAGGUAAGUCAGCGGUGAAAUGCCCCCGCUCAACGGGGUGAAGUGCCAUUGAUACUGCCUUGCUGGAAUGCGGAUGCCGUGGGAGGAAUGUGUGGUGUAGCGGUGAAAUGCAUAGAUAUCACACAGAACACCGAUUGCGAAGGCAGCUUACCAAGCUACUUCUGACGUUGAGGCACGAAAGCGUGGGGAUCGAACAGG